GAGGGGGACACACCCAGGGCCCAGGGGGGGCGCGGUAGGGCUUAGGGGCUGGGGGAGGGGAGGGCGGAGAAGGCGCUCAAAGUUCUUUUGUUUGAAAAUCGCAUCAGUUCCAGGGGGAAAACCUGGAUUUGUGACGUUUGAGCUGUCUCAAAGAGCAAAGAGCACCGGAUGAACCUGUAGCCCCACAGCCCGGGAGACCCAACUAGCAUAGGCCAUCACAGGCGCUGGACCUGGGACACAGAUGGUGUCCCACCAACGCGGCCACUUGAAGAUGGAGCCCCGAAAGAACGGCAGGGCCACCGUGCCCCGCUCAGCAGCAGGUGCAGCUGCGCACGGAGCUUUCAGCUCGGGAGCAGAAGGCAAACCUGGGUCAGGAAUCCAGAAGAGAAAAUCAUCUCUGUCCUCCGAUUAACAGUGAAGGCAGAAUUCUAGCAGGACAGAUGCAAGCCGGUGGCCUGAGCACGGUUGGCCUGGUGAAGACACCCCCAGGCCUCGUAGGUCAGCUGCCUUCCCAGAACCUUCCGCUGCAGGACAAGGAUUCCCGGCGAGAUUGGGAACCCCCAGCCAGCCCCGCAGGACCAGCCGCCAACACCUACAAGUCCACCGCGACAAACUUGUCUGGAGCUGCGCCCCGCUUCGGAUUCUGGGAUGGACAGGGGCAAGCGCCAUCCCGAAACACGACCCAAAGUCCAGGCGUCUGGACACGGGAUCCCCCGCCCCGCGCGCAGAAUACCCCCACCCAAGAUGAGGGCUGGCGCCUCCCACUACCCCAAGUCCCGCGUGGACCACAGUGGGGGCAGAGGAGGGUCCUUACCGUGCAGGCCGUUGGGGAUGCUGCGGUGGUGCUGCGGCGCCGACAGGUCGUCCAGGGACCGGUGGGUGGCUCCCGCCUUGCCGUCUGGGGCCUUGUGCGGCCCGGGGGG
rnacentral:lncRNA from 1 species